rnacentral:rRNA from 1 species
AACGGCUAUACAAUGCUGAAUAUACCGGUUCUUGUUCGAUCACCGAAGUCAAGCAUCAUCGGGCGUGGUCAGUACUUGGGAGGGGGACCACCUAGGAACACUGCGUACCGUU